rnacentral:rRNA from 1 species
GACAGAGGGUGCAAACGUUGCUCGGAUUUACUGGGCGUAAAGCGCGUGUAGGCGGAUGGGUAAGUCAGAUGUGAAAUCCCUGGGCUCAACCUAGGAACUGCACCUGAAACUGCCCAUCUGGAGUAGUGGAGAGGAGAGCGGAAUUCCUGGUGUAGAGGUGAAAUUCGUAGAUAUCAGGAGGAACACCGGUGGCGAAGGCAGGUCUCUGGGCCACUACGUGACGC